ensembl:lncRNA
AAAACUCAAUUCGAUCUGGAAUGUUAAUAUUAAGCUAACAUUGGUAAUAUGAUAAUUGUCCAGAACAUCAGCGUGCCUAAGCCUCUCCAAUCUAAAGUUUAAGGAACCUUUUCCAGUAUUGCUGGCCACUCCCACAUCAGUGUUAGUGGACACGGCGAAAUCAACAUCUAAAUGGUACCAUCUUUCCCAGACCAAGAGUUUUGCUUGACUACCCGCCGGCUAAAUGUUGCAUGUGUACUAACUUACUACUUAUGACGGUCAUACCUGAUGUGUAAGUAGGUCUGGUAUGGCCAUGCUCGUCUUUAUGUUCAUGUCCCAUGGGUUGUCUGUGUCUAUUGUGAAAUGUACUGUAUUAUCCUGUGAAUCUGCCUGUGUCAAUCAGUGCCCUGCUCUGCCAACUGCCUCUGCUAUGCAUACUGUCACCCGUUUCCUGUCUCCUCAGCUACUGCCCCACACAGUGAUGCAGCUGGACAGGAUGCUUUCAAUGGUGCCCCGGUAGAAUGCGUUCAGGAUGGGUAUGGGAGCUUUCACUCGCUUGAGCUUACGGAGGAAGUAGAGGCGCCGCUGGGCUUUCUUCGCCAGUGAUGCAGAGUUGGUGGCCCAGGAGAGGUCCUCACUGAUGUGCACCCCCAGGAAUUUGGUGCUGCUCACUCGCACCACAGCCGCACCAUCGAUGGUCAGUGGUGGGUGUUUAGUGUGGCUUUUCCUGAAGUCAACCACAAUCUCCUUUGUUUUGCUGACAUUCAGCAGGAGGUUGUUGUCUCUGCACCACGUGGUCAAAAGGUUGACCUCCUUCCUGUAGUGGGUCUCAUCGUUCUUGGUGAUGAGACCCACCAGAGUUGUGUCGUCCGCAAACUUCACCAUGUGAUUGGUACUGUAGGUUGUUGUGCAGUCGUGAGUCAGCAGGGUGAAGAGCAGGGGACUGAGUACACAGCCUUGUGGGGCCCCUGUGCUGAGUGUGAUGCUGCUCGAGAUGUUGUUGCCGACUCGUACUGCUUGGGGUCGCUCGCUGAGAAAGUCCAAUACCCAAUUGCAAAGGGAGGUGUUGAGCCCCAGCUGGUCCAGUUUACAGAUGAGUUGUUGUGGGAUUAUGGUGUUAAAAGCUGAACUAAAGUCUAUGAAAAGCAUUCUCACAUGUGAGUCUGCUUUUUCCAGGUGGGUGAGGGCUGGGUGGAGAGCAGAGCAGACUGCGUCCUCUGUGUAACGUUUGGCCCGGUAUGCAAACUGAAAGGGGUCCAGGGUGGGGGGGAGGAUGGACUUGAUGUGAGACAUGACUAGCCGUUCAAAGCACUUCAUAAUGAUGGGGGUCAGUGCCACAGGGUGAUAGUCAUUGAAGCAGGAUGGAGCCGGUUUCUUUGGCACAGGUAUGAUGACAUCUGUGACAUGGACAGUGUCUUCCAAUGUUUUCAUUGCAUUGCAGGGAUUGCUGCCGACCACAGACAGUGUUCCACUAAGAUAUAAGCAAUGGAGAGUUUUGCACGUCUGACGGCAAUCCGCUACAACGUUGCCACUGCUUGGCCAACAGGCAGGCAGGUCAUGUUCCACUUGUAGGAGGGCCAUAACGGAUCUCAAGUGCAACAUGCAAUCUGUCACCGGCCACCUCAACGUGCCUUGCUGCUUCUGCUCCUCCCUCCGUGUUGCAACAGGAGCAACAGAUCCACAGUGCAACAUGCAAGCUGCUACCUGGAGUUUGACUUGCCGUUGUUGUUGUUGUCGUCGUCGUAUUUAUUUUUUGUGAAAGGGCGCAGAUAUGUGUAGUUUGAAAUAUUUAGUAGUAAUGCCAUGUGUACGCUAUGUGUUUACAUGUUCGUCUCUUUCCCACAGCACCCUAGUCUAAUUACUGCACUAGGUUUUGGCCUGUACGGAUGCAUGCAUGGGCUCAGCUACUGUGCUUUAUUAAUCUUGCUUAUCAUAACUGAGGCAUUGUGGUUCUCUCUCCACUUGCCCCUUUAAAGACAAGCAACACCCAUAAAUCAAUGUGAAAAGUAACGAUUGAUGGCUCUACUGAUGACGGUAAUGUGCAAGUUCUCAGCUGUCUGAGCAGUUAUGAUUUAUUUUGUUAAAAUACACAUCUGUGUUGGUUAACAUAUUAUCUCAUUUGGAACCCAAUAGGCUGUUGAUGAAAUAACAUGUUAAUGUUGUGCCACUGACCAUUUUCACCCAGCUCGAUCAUUAAGGUUUUCUGUUUCUUUAAAAAAAAAAUCUGAAAUUCAGUUGUCUGCUUCUUGU